UGGGGAAUAUUGCACAAUGGGCGAAAGCCUGAUGCAGCGACGCCGCGUGAGUGAAGAAGUAUUUCGGUAUGUAAAGCUCUAUCAGCAGGGAAGAAAAUGACGGUACCUGACUAAGAAGCCCCGGCUAACUACGUGCCAGCAGCCGCGGUAAUACGUAGGGGGCAAGCGUUAUCCGGAUUUACUGGGUGUAAAGGGAGCGUAGACGGCGAAGCAAGUCUAAAGUGAAAACCCAGGGCUCAACCCUGGGACUGCUUUGGAAACUGUUUUGCUAGAGUGUCGGAGAGGUAAGUGGAAUUCCUAGUGUAGCGGUGAAAUGCGUAGAUAUUAGGAGGAACACCAGUGGCGAAGGCGGCUUACUGGACGAUAACUGACGUUGAGGCUCGAAAGCGUGGGGAGCAAACAGG
rnacentral:rRNA from 1 species